rnacentral:rRNA from 4 species
GAGUUUGAUCCUGGCUCAGAUUGAACGCUGGCGGCAUGCCUUACACAUGCAAGUCGAACGGCAGCACGGGAGCUUGCUCCUGGUGGGCGAGUGGCGAACGGGUGAGUAAUGCAUCGGAACGUAUCCUGGAGUGGGGGAUAACGUAGCGAAAGUUACGCUAAUACCGCAUAUUCUGUGAGCAGGAAAGCGGGGGACCUUCGGGCCUCGCGCUCUUGGAGCGGCCGAUGUCGGAUUAGCUAGUUGGUGAGGUAAAGGCUCACCAAGGCGACGAUCCGUAGCAGGUCUGAGAGGAUGAUCUGCCACACUGGAACUGAGACACGGUCCAGACUCCUACGGGAGGCAGCAGUGGGGAAUUUUGGACAAUGGGGGCAACCCUGAUCCAGCCAUGCCGCGUGAGUGAAGAAGGCCUCGG